rnacentral:rRNA from 1 species
AGUGAACGCUGGCGGUAGGCCUAACACAUGCAAGUCGAACGGCAGCACAGUAAAAGCUUGCUCUUACGGGUGGCGAGUGGCGGACGGGUGAGGAAUACAUCGGAAUCUACUUUUUCGUGGGGGAUAACGUAGGGAAACUUACGCUAAUACCGCAUACGACCUACGGGUGAAAGCAGGGGAUCUUCGGACCUUGCGCGAUUGAAUGAGCCGAUGUCGGAUUAGCUAGUUGGCGGGGUAAAGGCCCACCAAGGCGACGAUCCGUAGCUGGUCUGAGAGGAUGAUAAGCCACACUGGAACUGAGACACGGUCCAGACGCCUACGGGAGGCAGCAGUGGGGAAUAUUGGACAAUGGGCGCAAGCCUGAUCCAGCCAUACCGCGUGGGUGAAGAAGGCCUUCGGGUUGUAAAGCCCUUUUGUUGGGAAAGAAAAGCAGCAGGUUAAUACCCCGCUGUUCUGACGGUACCAAAAGAAUAAGCACCGGCUAACUUCGUG